UUUUUCCUUCUCGACGUCCAAAGGGAAAGGUGGGCAGUGUGGAUCUAAGAUUUUAUAUAUAGAUAUAUAGCUUAGAUCCUUUUCUCAUAUUCCCUUCACUCUGGUUUUCUUCGUCGACUCUGGAAUAAAACAAGGAGCUACAUCAAGCCCAUUAUCACAGUGCAGUGCGAAUAUUGUGACAAAAUCUCUUCGAACUCAAAAUUUUGAAUUAGCAGAGAAAAAUUCUUGUCUCUGAUAAUGAAGACUGUGCUGUUCUUCGUCGCUCUUUGUGGGACAGUAUCUGUUGUGGAGCUUAUAAGUCCCUGUGUGAAGUGUCAGAAUGACCAGUCAUGUAAACCCCCUAACUGCUUCUGUUGCCGGGAUGAACUUAACCUACCGAUUCCUUUAACAGAAACCCCUCAAAUAGUCUUUUUCACGUUUGACGAUGCAUUGACUGAUGCUGCAUCCAAGUUUUACCGGAAACUUUUCAACGAGACCCGAAUGAACCCGAAUGGAUGUCCUAUAUCUAUGACCUUGUUUAUAUCACACCAAGACACCAUUUAUCGGAACGUGAACGACUUCUAUAAGAGAGGUAUGGAAAUUGCAUCUCACAGCGUAACACAUAGUCAUAUGUCAACCUCAAACUUCAUGGAGGAGGCAAAGAAACAAAAGAGGAACCUCGCUAAAUUAGGUGGUAUACCCGAAAACGAGAUAGUUGGGUGGAGAAGUCCGUUUUUGGAGCCCAUUGGCGACAUGCAGCCCGAUAAACUCAAAGAACUUGGGUACGUGUAUGAUGCCACAUUAACAUACAGCAAAAGAAAAUUGUCUGAUAAAGCUCCCACACCAUUCACGCUUGAUUUCGGCUGGCCUUAUGAUUGCAAAGUCAAACCUUGUCCUAAGAGACACCAUGCUGGAUUCUGGGAGGUACCCGUCGUUUCUCUGAUGGACUACAAGCACAAAUACGACUGUGUUUACGUGGACGGUUGUAAUAAUCCACCACCCAAUGAAGCUUCCGCCUACCAGUUCCUAAUGGACAACUUCAACAGCUACUAUACUACCUCACGUGUUCCAUUUGGUAUCAAUAUGCAUUCAUCUUGGUUUUACAUUGCAGACAGGCUGAAUGCCAUGGACCGAUUCAUCAAUACUUUACUCAAAAUGGACGAUGUGUAUAUUGUAUCUGUAGACAAAACAAUCAAAUGGCUUCAAAACCCAACCCCGCUUGGAGAGCUCCAUGCUUUUGAACCAUGGAAAUGCGAUCACUUGAAAGCCAGACAAGAGUCAGACAAAGCAACGUCAAACAACAGACAAGGAAUGGGACUCUCUCAUGCAGAACUUCAGCAGAUGUAUAUUCAGCAACGACUUCGACAAAUUGCAGAAAUGCGCAAAGAAAUUGAAUUGAGGAAACAACGAGAAUUACAGUUAUUGCAACAGACCUCUAAUUUUGUAAACAGACCAUGGUGGUCUCCCCCUAGAAGACCACAAAGCAACAGUAACAUUCACCGAAGUCCUUUUACACAAGAAAUCCCAAACGCACACGUCCUUGAAAACACAUUGGAAGAAACAGUUCAGGAACCAGUUAAAACAGAUAAGGCUUUGGCAACAAAGUCAGCUGGGAUCUAGACGAAUACCUGAAGCAGCUCUUCGAAGUAAUUCACCUUGGUGGAACAAACCUAUACCAUAUGUGCAUGACUUUAAAUAUAAAGUUGCUUAUUCUGAAUCAACAAAGCCUCCUUCAACAGAAUUAACAUCACCAAUGCCAACAACCACGGAAUCUCCAACAACUACAUAUAAACCAAGCCCACCCAGGGUCAACUCUAGGAUCAAUUUAUUCCGAGAAAGGGAAAUCAUAGAGCAGCAGAGGAGACAUCGCCUCAUCCUGGAACAGCAAAGAAUCAGGGAAGAACAGCAGCUUAAACAACAGAAAGAGGAACUUAGGAAAAACGAGGAAGAAUCAUUUCUAAAACAACAAAGAGAAUUAGGGAACAAACCGUUGUUCUCUUGGACACAAUUUUUACCAUCAGCUUCUCAAAUUCGAUGAACUGUAACCAAACUAAAGACAGUAAUAUUACUUUAGUUCUCUGCAAAAUGUAGUGAAUAUGAGUUGACUGUCACGAGGGGCGGACCAUUAGUGCUUUCAUUUUUUUUCUGAGUGAAAAAUGACUUGUUUACAUACACCAGGGCUAGUAUACGGUGUCAGCUGCUCUAUACGAUUCUGAAAAUAGGUGGACAAAAAGCAUAGUCCCUUGCUCUUUGUGAGUUAGUUGACGGACAGUGACUGAUUUGCCCAGAUUGUGUGUGAUUGAUGUGAGAUUUCAGUCUUUAUUUAUAAUUUAUGGAAGUUGGUUUCCGUUUGGGAUGUUUAUCUGCAAUAUUGUACCUUUUUGGUGUACACAAUUUAUUAAAGAUGUAUUUUUUAUUAUUAGGACGACUAUGAGAAUCACUGAAUUCCAAAAAUAAGAGCUGCAGUCAUGCAAAAUGCUAAAUAUUUUAAAUUAACACGACGCAUUUUUACACAACGUCAUGCAAAAUGUCUUUGUUUUAUGAUCUUGAUGUCAAAAUAAGCAAAAUAUGUCUACGUGCCAAAGUACUGGUAUAUUUAGAUACUGAGCGAGUAGUAGAUGUGAGUGUUACUGUUAUCUACUGCUACCGAAGUACACUUUGUAAUGAAGUGCCAAAUGUGGGUUGUAUGAAAUAAAAUAUUUAAAAAAAAAAA
rnacentral:misc_RNA from 1 species